UCAGAUUGAACGCUGGCGGCAGGCCUAACACAUGCAAGUCCAACGGUAACAGGAAGUGCUUGCACUUCGCUGACGAGUGGCGGACGGGUGAGUAAUGCUUGGGAACUUGCCUUUGCGAGGGGGAUAACAGUUGGAAACGACUGCUAAUACCGCAUAACGUCUACGGACCAAACGGGGCUUAGGCUCCGGCGCAAAG
rnacentral:rRNA from 1 species